rnacentral:lncRNA from 1 species
UAAUCCUAAUAGGAGUCUAAAAUUCUAAUAGUCAAGGGAGGCUAUUUACAAUAGAAAUAAAAUCUUAAUAUGCAAAAAUAAUCAUAAUCCUAAUAGGAGUCUAACUGUUCCAUAUCAUUCCCUUCCACUUGUAAAGAACUCGACCUCGAGUUGUCUUCAGCAGGAUAGUACUGAAAUAGAUCCGCCACGUUAAACGUCUUGGAAAUUUUCAUCUCAUGUGGAAGGUCAAGAUUAUAGGCAUUAU